GACAGAGGGUGCGAACGUUGUUCGGAAUUACUGGGCGUAAAGCGCGUGUAGGCGGCAACGCAAGUCGGGCGUGAAAUCCCACGGCUCAACCGUGGAAGUGCACUCGAAACUGCGUAGCUAGAGUCCUGGAGAGGAAGGUGGAAUGCUUGGUGUAGAGGUGAAAUUCGUAGAUAUCAAGCGGAACACCGGCGGCGAAGGCGGCCUUCUGGACAGUGACUGACGCUGAGACGCGAAAGCGUGGGGAGCAAACAGG
rnacentral:rRNA from 1 species